UUGGUUAAGUUAGAAAGGGCGCACGGUGGAUGCCUUGGCACUAGGAGCCGAAGAAGGACGGGACUAACACCGAUAUGCUUUGGGGAGCUGUACGUAAGCGUUGAUCCAGAGAUUUCCGAAUGGGGGAACCCACUAUCUUUAGUCGGAUAGUAUCCUUACGUGAAUACAUAGCGUGAGGAAGGCAGACCCAGGGAACUGAAACAUCUAAGUACCUGGAGGAAGAGAAAGAAAAAUCGAUUUCCUGAGUAGCGGCGAGCGAAACGGAAAGAGCCCAAACCAAGAAGCUUGCUUCUUGGGGUUGUAGGACACUCUAUACGGAGUUACAAAAGAAAGUUAUAAAUGAAGCGGUCUGGAAAGGCCCGCCAAAGACGGUAACAGCCCGGUAGUUGAAAUAGCUUUCCCUCCAGAGUGGAUCCUGAGUACGGCGGAACACGUGAAAUUCCGUCGGAAUCCGGGAGGACCAUCUCCCAAGGCUAAAUACUCCCUAGUGACCGAUAGUGAACCAGUACCGUGAGGGAAAGGUGAAAAGCACCCCGGAAGGGGAGUGAAACAGUUCCUGAAACCGUGUGCCUACAAGUAGUUAGAGCCCGUUAAUGGGUGAUAGCGUGCCUUUUGUAGAAUGAACCGGCGAGUUACGAUUUGUUGCAAGGUUAAGCGGAAAAAGCGGAGCCGUAGCGAAAGCGAGUCUGAAUAGGGCGAAUAAGUAACAGGUCGUAGACCCGAAACCAGGUGAUCUACCCAUGUCCAGGAUGAAGGUAAGGUAAUACUUACUGGAGGUCCGAACCCACGCACGUUGAAAAGUGCGGGGAUGAGGUGUGGGUAGCGGAGAAAUUCCAAUCGAACUUGGAGAUAGCUGGUUCUCUCCGAAAUAGCUUUAGGGCUAGCCUCGAGGUAAAGAGUCAUGGAGGUAGAGCACUGUUUGGACUAGGGGCCCUUCUCGGGUUACCGAAUUCAGAUAAACUCCGAAUGCCAUGUACUUAUACUCGGGAGUCAGACUGCGAGUGAUAAGAUCCGUAGUCGAAAGGGAAACAGCCCAGACCACCAGUUAAGGUCCCCAAAUAUAUGUUAAGUGGAAAAGGAUGUGGGGUUGCUUAGACAACCAGGAUGUUGGCUUAGAAGCAGCCACCAUUGAAAGAGUGCGUAAUAGCUCACUGGUCGAGUGACCCCGCGCCGAAAAUGUACCGGGGCUAAACAUAUUACCGAAACUGUGGAUGAACCUCUUUAGAGGUUCGUGGUAGGAGAGCGUUCUAAGGGCGGUGAAGUCAGACCGGAAGGA
rnacentral:rRNA from 1 species